rnacentral:rRNA from 1 species
GGAACCCUGAUGCAGCCAUGCCGCGUGUGUGAAGAAGGCCUUCGGGUUGUAAAGCACUUUCAGUUGUGAGGAAAAGUUAGUAGUUAAUACCUGCUAUCCGUGACGUUAACAACAGAAGAAGCACCGGCUAACUCCGUGCCAGCAGCCGCGGUAAUACGGAGGGCGCAAGCGUUAAUCGGAAUUACUGGGCGUAAAGCGUACGUAGGCGGCUUGUUAAGCAAGAUGUGAAAUCCCCGGGCUCAACCUGGGAAUGGCAUUUUGAACUGGCAAGCUCGAGUUCUGAAGAGGGUGGUAGAAUUUCCUGUGUAGCGGUGAAANUGCNGUAGAUAUAGGAAGGAAUNACCAGUGGCGAAGGCGGCCACCUGGUCAGAAACUGACGCUGAGGUACGAAAGCGUGGGGAGCAAACAGGAUUAGAUACCCUGGUAGUCCACGCCGUAAACGAUGUCAACUAGUUGUUCGUCUUAUAAACAAGGUGAGUAACGCAGCUAACGCACUAAGUUGACCGCCUNGGGGAGUACNGNGNCCGCAAGGUNNUAAAANCUNCAAAUGAAUUGACGGGGGCCCGCACAAGCGGUGGAGCAUGUGGUUUAAUUCGAUGCAACGCGAAGAACCUUACCAUCCCUUGACAUCCAGUGAAUUAUCUAGAGAUAGAUGAGUGCCUUCGGGAACACUGAGACAGGUGCUGCAUGGCUGUCGUCAGCUCGUGUUGUGAGAUGUUGGGUUAAGUCCCGCAACGAGCGCAACCCUUAUCCUUAGUUGCCAGCACGUAAUGGUGGGAACUCUGGGGAGACUGCCGGUGAUAAACCGGAGGAAGGUGGGGACGACGUCAAGUCGUCAUGGCCCUUACGGGAUGGGCUACACACGUGCUACAAUGGCGCGUACAAUGGGAAGCAAGCUAGCGAUAGUAAGCGGAUCUCAAAAAGCGCGUCGUAGUCCGGAUCGGAGUCUGCAACUCGACUCCGUGAAGUCGGAAUCGCUAGUAAUCGUGGAUCAGAAUGCCACGGUGAAUACGUUCCCGGGCCUUGUACACACCGCCCGUCACACCAUGGGAGUGG